GACGAACGCUGGCGGCGUGCCUAACACAUGCAAGUCGAACGGAAAGGCCCUGAUCUUGUGGGGCGCUCGAGUGCCGAACGGGGGAGUAACACGUGUGUAACCUGCCCUUGUCUUUGGGGUAACUUUAGGGAACUGGGGAUAUAAUCGGGUAGGAGCUCCUGCAGCACGGUGGGGGUUGGAAAGUGUCGGCUGUUGGGGAUGGUCUCGCGGCUUAUCCGCUUGAUGGUGGGGUAGUGGAAUUCCAAGCCUUCGAAGGAUAGCCGGCCUGGGAGGGUGACCAGCCACAUUGCGCCUGCGAGACGGCCCAGACUCCUAUGUGCGGCAGCAGUGGGGAAUCUGACGCAAUGAGCGGAAGUCUGAUGCAGCAACGCCGCGUGCGGGAUGCCGGCCUUCGGGUUGUAAACAGCUUUCGCCUGUGACGAAGCGUGAGUGACGGUAAUGGGUAAAGAAGCACCGGCUAACUACGUG
rnacentral:rRNA from 1 species